CUUGUAACAACUGGCACUAUGCCUAAAAAGCAGUUUGGACUGGCUAACCUUGGGACCGGAAGGGUGUAGCUUACCCACGUGGUUUUAACUUAAUCAUCCAGCUCCCGGACACAUCUCCCGGCAGGCUUUUCUUAUGGAGUAGGUGGCAAUGCAGAAUCUCUCUACGGGCGCUUUCCCCACGGUCAGCCUCCACCCUAGGGCAGCUGAGGGAGUGCGCCAGGACUGAGAAACAGCAUUGAGAAAAACCCAGCCAUGGUUCUCAACAGAGCAUUCUGACAGAUGUUUCUUAGGCCCUACUAUACUUUUACUCUUCUCUACUUCUUGCCCCAGCUCCCUCCACCCCAACCUCGAGAAGCAGGAGUUAGAAUUUUAUAUUCCUUUCUAAGUAAACUUUUUUCCUCCAAGAGAUAAUCUACCCUGGCCCUAUCGAGGUUAAAUCUGAGCUGGUGUAACUGAAGGAGGUGGUUGAUUUUCCUAACAGUAAAAUAUCUAAACCAAAUAUGCCCUGUGUUUCAGCAGCUUAAACACUGAGGUCUAACAAGGACCCGAGGUUCCACUUCGCUUGCCAAGGGCUAAGUGUGUGUCUAAGUGAGAGAAAGUGAUUCUGAGGAGCGGGAACGUCUGAGUGGGUGAAGGAGAGUUUGUGCCGCUGUUGCUGUGCGCCACCCGCGGGCCUGGCCCCAGGGAGAAGCACCAGGCCAGGCGGCCCAGCCCAUUUACAAUCCACCCGCUGCUGACAAUUAACUGACAAUUAACCCGGGGAGGGGGCGCACCUCCCAGCGUCCUUCAGGGCGCGGGUCACGAGACGGGGCGGGCCCGGUAACCCCGGCAACAGGGCCAGUCAGGCACCUGGGAGCGGAGCCCUUCAGAAGCUGCUGCGCUAACAGCAUUGGAAAAGAAGUGUGGGGCGGAGUGACUGGUAGCCAUGACCUUCAGAAUAUCAAGAGGAAAACAAAUGGAGGUGCUGAUGUUUCCAGGGAUCUCUUCAUUAUAGUACUUGCCUUUCUUUCUAGAAAUGAUGGGAAAACCACACCAAAUCUGCAGGUGUGGUCAAGAGACCUGCUUGGCGCUCAGUGUGAGCAGAAGUGCUGUGUGUCGCUUCUCUGGGCUGCAGCUCUCCACAUCAGAUCUGCCACAUUUCUUCCCUCUACCAAGAUUACCAACAUCAUCAUCCCAGGUCACGGAAUGGGGACAACAGGGAGCAGAGCCCACAGCUGGCCCAGAUCCAAGACACAGCAUCAAGAAAGAACCCUUUGUUGCUUUCAUUCGGUCAGACUGUGGGGUUGUUUGUUACUGCAAUAGAACCUACUUCGUGCACCAUUUGAAGAAAGAAGGACAUGGGGCUGAGAACCUGGCUUGCUGCUUGAAGGGAGGAAAUAAAGCAGCAAGAGAGAGGAGAAAGAAGGGUCUGGACUCCCUGUCAUUA